rnacentral:rRNA from 1 species
AACGAACGCUGGCGGCAGGCCUAACACAUGCAAGUCGAGCGGGACCUUCGGGUCUAGCGGCGGACGGGUUAGUAACGCGUGGGAACGUGCCCAAAGGUACGGAAUAGCCUCGGGAAACUGAGAGUAAUACCGUAUGUGCCCCUCGGGGGAAAGGAUUUAUCGCCUUUGGAUCGGCCCGCGUUGGAUUAGGUAGUUGGUGGGGUAAUGGCCUACCAAGCCGACGAUCCAUAGCUGGUUUGAGAGGAUGAUCAGCAACACUGGGACUGAGACACGGCCCAGACUCCUACGGGAGGCAGCAGUGGGGAAUCUUAGACAAUGGGGGGAACCCUGAUCUAGCCAUGCCGCGUGAGCGAUGAAGGCCUUAGGGUUGUAAAGCUCUUUCAGAUGGGAAGAUAAUGACGGUA